AGCCCUUUUAAACUCCAUUUCUAAACUGCUAACAUAGCAGUUCACGGCAGUUUCCCAUGCUCUGCCUUUUCCUGCCCAUUUUCUCCACAAAACUGCAUCGUGGGUUGCAGUUGUCGAUGGUCUCCUCUCCUCUGCAGUUAUCAACGGUUCAGUAGCCCGCUCCCCCUUCUUAUUUUUAGGGUUGUUUCCUCUCUAAACACCUAAACUUGUGUCGCCCUUCUUCUUAUCACCUAAAUUUGGGUUGCAGUUGUCGGUGGUCUCCUCUCCUCUGCAUCGUCUCAGAUAAUCCGAACAGCAUCACCAGUAGCGUCAAUAUUGAUAAAGAGCGUUUAACUUGAAAAUCUACAAUUCAUACAUGUGUGGAGCAGAGUAAUUGAAAAAGAAAAAUUAUUUACUGAUUGUUUUCAACUUUUGUAGAUAUAUCACUAAAUCCCUUACCGCAAAUUCCACGAAUUCAUGAUCGCCGCCGAUGAAAUUGAUAACCGGAGCCGGAGGGUUGACGAACAACUGUGACGUUAGGGUUGUGGAGCUUCAUUUUUUUCAUUCUCUGGUCGCUUCCGCGGUCAUUAGUGUCCCUUCACCUCGUAAUUGCCUCUUUUUUUCUCAGAUCAAGCCGUCGGUACCGGAGGAAAGUACACCAGGAAAUCUGAAAACAAAAUACCUGAUCAUGAUCAGGUGAAGAGUUGGUUUUCUUCGGGGUUGUCUCUAAUUUCACAUGUACACACAAAUUGGGAGGAGAUGAUGAAAGAUGGAAUGGAUCAGGUUUGAUUUUCGGUUUACUUUCAUGCCCACAAGUUGUUUGUUGUUUUGCUCAUCCAACAAUCAAUACAAAACUAAGUUUUGAUACGACUGCAAAAUUGUGGAAGGCGUUCUUAGCGAUCAAUUGAACCAUUUUGUGAUUAACGCAAUCCAUACCUUCUGAGCUUAAGGAACAGUUGUCUCCUCUAUAACUCAGCUCCUGGUGCUCAUUUCAGUUUCUUGCUAUGGAUAUUCUCUAUUGUCAUCUAAAGUUGUUACCCAUUCUACUCGUCAGGGUCACCAUGGUCCAGUCAUGGAGAUGGCAUGUCACGCUUCUAGUGGAUUGCUGGUAAUGACUAGAGCCAAUGCCAAAAUACUUGUAUGCUUUUUUUUGGAUGCGAUGAUACAACUAUAUGUGUAUGGGAGCUAACAAACAAGAAAUGUGUUGCAACUUUAGAAAGACACCAUUCAAAUGUGACUAGCAUUGCAAUAUCAGAUGAUGGAUAGACUCUGUUGAGUGGCGGCAGAGAUCAGGUUGUAAACUUGUGGAAUCUUCAUGACUACAGUUGCACAACAAGUAUACCUACCAAUGAAGCAAUUGAAUUUGUAUUUGUUAUUGGUACCACAUCUUCUUUGCUUCAUG